AGGAUGCUGAAGCAGGAAAUCAAUCGAAAAUCCCACUUGCCAUAGCCAUUAUUGUACCUUGUACAUGUUUCCUGAUCUUUCUAAUUACUAUUGUGAUCAUUCAGAGAAAAGUCUCCAAACGACGUUCACGCUCUCGUUCUCCCGCUUCAAUAAUGGAGCAGAAAGAAGAUAUUUAUGAAAACUGCCUGGAACUUGAAAAUCGCCGACGUAGUCAAAUUCAGGUUCAACCUUACAAAUACAGAGUUCAAUGAUAUGGACCACACAUAGUAAAAAAAGACUCAACUUUUUAUAGCAACAGA